GAUGAAGAACGCAGCAAAAUGCGAUAAGUAAUGUGAAUUGCAGAAUUCAGUGAAUCAUCGAAUCUUUGAACGCACAUUGCGCCCGCCAGAAUACUGGCGGGCAUGCCUGUUCGAGCGUCAUUUCAACCCUCAAGCACAGCUUGGUGUUGGGACUCGCGUUAAUUCGCGUUCCUCAAAUUGAUUGGCGGUCACGUCGAGCUUCCAUAGCGUAGUAGUAAAACCCUCGUUACUGGUAAUCGUCGCGGCCACGCCGUUAAACCCCAACUUCUGAAUGUUGACCUCGGAUCAGGUAGGAAUACCCGCUGAACUUAAGCAUAUCAAUAAGCGGAGGA
rnacentral:misc_RNA from 1 species